UAGGUAAAUUAAAUAAUUCGUCGUAUAAUGUCGAGAAUAUGGCUCGAAAGUUUCUACCAAACUACCUUAAAUAGUUUGACUACGAUUAACCCACUAUAGAUA
rnacentral:ncRNA from 2 species